rnacentral:lncRNA from 1 species
CCUUGACGAAUUAUUUUGUUUCAAUUCCGUUCCAUAUUGACUUAAUGGCUGCCUAUAGUGUUGUAAUUUCUCUUCUUCAAACUCUUAACCAACGAAAUCCAGAACUCUUUUAUAGUCGCACUGCUGAAGCGCUCGAUUCUGUUCGUUCUACUGCUGAAUAUUUCCAAAACGUUCUUGAAAAUGCUAGCAAGAGUAGAUUUGACACUGAAAAGAUCAAAUCUUUGGAGGAAAAAAUAAGAGUUGCUGUUAGUUAUGCAGAAGAUGUUGUUGAGAUGAAAAUUUCUCAGAUCGUCAGAGGCUCAAGCUGGACAUUUGGAAUUUUACAACACCAAGAUUUGCUACCACUUUUUGAAAAAAUGGAUACAACAAAGAAACAAGUGAUGGAGAUUGUUUCACAUCAUGCUGAUCAAGUUCUUGAAUUAUAUGGGGAUUCCUUGAUUGGCACUUAUUCUACUCGUUAUCCAAUGUUGGAAGAUGAUAUUGUGCAGGGACUUGAUGAUGACUUGGAGAUCAUAAUUAAUAGAUUGAAAGGACGACCACGGGAUCUAGACGUUGUCACAAUAUCAGGCAUGGGUGGCAUUGGCAAAACAACACUCGCUAAAAAAGCUUAUGAUCAGGUAACAAUCAGGUAUCACUUUGACAUUCUUGCUUGGGUUACAAUAUCUCAAGAAUUUCGAGCUAGAAAUGUAUUGUUAGAGGCUUUACAUUGUAUUCCAAAGAAAUCAGUUAGUGUGAAUGCAAAAGAUUAUAAUAAAAUGGAUGACAAUCAGUUAGCAGAGCUGGUGCAAAAGAGCCUAAAGGGUCAAAGAUACCUUUUUGUUGUUGAUGAUAUUUGGAGUACGGAUGUCUGGGAUAGCCUAAGACGAAUAUUUCCUGAUUGUAACAAUAGGAGUCGAGUCUUAUUGACUACUAGGGAAACCGAGGUAGCAAUGUAUGCAAAUACUUGUAGCCCUCAUAAGAUGAGGCUUUUGAGUUUAGAAAACGGUUGGAGGUUACUCUGUGAUAAGGUGUUUGGACCAAAACGUGAUCAUCCUCCUGAAUUGGAAGAAAUUGGAAAGGUAAUAGUAGAAAAAUGCCAAGGACUACCUUUGACAAUUUCAGUGAUUGCGGGACAUCUUUCUAAAAUAGCUAGGACAUUGGAAUGUUGGAAGGAUGUUGCCCGAAACUUAAGUGAAAUCAUUGCUAGUCAUCCAGAUAAAUGCUUAGGAGUGCUCGGUUUGAGUUACCACCACUUGCCUAAUCGCCUCAAACCUUGCUUUCUUUCCAUGGGUGAUUUCCCAGAGGAUUUUCAGGUUGAGACUUGGAGAUUGAUCCAAAUAUGGAUUGCAGAAGGUUUCAUAAUUAGGACUUUUGAAAAUGGUAAAACUUUGGAGGAAGUGGCGAUAGAUUAUUUGGAGGAUCUUAUUAGCAGGAACUUGAUACAAGCUAGAAAAAGGAGAUUCAAUUGUGAGAUAAAAACAUGUGGAAUACAUGAUCUACUGCGUGAGUUUUGUUUGAUAGAAGCUGAAAUGACAAAGCAUAUGCAUGUUGAGAGAACUCGCCCUACUCUUCCAACACAAAGGCACAAUGCCCGUCACUUCAGUUUUCAACCCAGAUUUUAUCCAUUUGCUGAUUUUUCUGAGAUAUUACCCACUGUUGCAAGAUCUAUUUUCUUAUUUUCUCACUUGGAUCAACCUCUUGAACCCUAUAUUAAGCUUCUCAUGAUAUUGCCCAUCUACCGUCAUAAUCAUAUAACACAUGAUUUUUUCUCUCGUUUCAACCUUCUCAGGGUAUUAGCCAUCUUCAAUACAGAUGUAUGGUUCGAGUCUUUUCCACUUGUGAUUACAACGUUAUUUCAUUUGAGAUAUCUCCAAUUUCCAUUUCACGUCAAAAUUCCUGGCUCAAUCUCAAAGCUUAACAAUUUGCAAACUCUAAUUUGUAGUGGUCAUACUUUACCUAGGGAGAUAUGGAUGAUGAAGAACUUGAGGUAUAUAUGUCUGGAGGUACCCUCUCAUUUACCCAGUCCUAGAAUAGGAAGUCUUGUGACAGGGAUGUCAAACCUAGAGGAACUUUCUGGUGUUUGUUACUUCAGUUGUACAAAGGAAGUCUUUUCUGGCAUUCCAAAUCUAAAAGUCUUGAUCAUUCAUUUACCUCAUAUCUCGAAAGGAAUUCCCCAUCAUCAAUUGGAUUUGUCCGGAUUGACAAAACUCGAAGUAUUCAAGUUAUACGGGGCACCUUAUUUGAGAGAUCCCAUCAAGAGAUUUGGUUUUCCAACAUCACUUAGGAGGUUGUCUUUAAGUCAGUGUUGCUAUUUUGAUUGGGCAGACCUAUCAUCAACUGCUAUGAUGUUGCCAAAUCUUGAAGUGCUCAAACUUAUACAUUAUGAACCCUUGAGUAAUGAAUGUAGAUUGAGUGAUGAAUGGAGAAUGAGUGAUAAAGAUGUGUUCAAAAGCUUGAAGUUGUUGUUACUGAGUGGCACAAAUCUUAAGCAUUGGGAAGCUAGCAGUGAUAAUUUCCCAAUUUUAAAACGCCUUGUUCUGAAGAAGUGCCGCCAUCUGCAAGAAAUUCCAGCAGACUUUGGGGAAAUUUGUACUUUGGAGUCAGUUGAGUUACAUGAUUGCAGCGCUACUGCUGAGGAUUCUGCCAAAAAUAUUGAACGAGAACAAGAGGACAUGGGAAAUAAUAUCCUCAAGGUUUACAUCAUCCAUAACAAUGACUGUAAGUUCUAAACAGUUUUUCGAUUCUCUUAUCUUUGUUUAUCUUGAAAUUAAGAUGAUGACUUCUACUUUUGAUCUUUCAUAUGCAGGGGACUGUUGCUUAGUUUGAGGGACCAUCUAAUGUCAUCUUCCAAAUGCAGAAUGUUUUAGUUUAUAUUAUGAAAAGUAAAAUCUUUCGAUUUUAUGUUCUGAUCAUUUGUAAAUUCAUGUUUUUGAAAUAAGCAUGUUUAAUACAUGUCUGGCCCAUUUGUGAUUUUGUAUUUCCCAUCUACCACCGUGAUCCUAUAAUACAUGGUUUUUCUCUCAUUUCAACCUUCGUAGGGUAUUGGCCAUUUUCAAUACAAAUGGAUACUUCAAGUCAUUUCCCCUUGUAAUUACAAAGUUGUUUCAUUUGAGAUAUAUUCAAGUUAGAUUGAACUGAGAUAUUCCUGUAUGAAUCUCAGAGCUUCAAAAUCUUGAAGGGCUCAAACUUCGUGUAGUGAUUUUUUCUCUGGGCAGACAUAUAUCCAACUGGUAUGAUGUUGCCAAAUUUUGAAGAGCUCAAACUUAAACAUUGUCAAACCUUGAUUGAUGAAUGGAGAUUGAGUGAUGAAGACAAGCUCAAAAGCUUGAAGUUGUUGAUUGUUGUUACUGAGUGGCUCUGAUCUCAAGUGUUGGAAAGCUAGCAGUAAUAACUUCCCAAAUCUAAAACGCCUCAUACCGAAGAAGUGCUACAGGCUGAAAGAAAUUCCAGCAGAUUUGGCGAAAUUGGUACUUUGGAGUCAAUUGUGUUACACGAUUGCAGCAUUACUGCUGAGGAUCCUGCAAGAGAGAUUGAACAAGAGCAAGAGGACAAGGGAAAUUAUUCCCUUAAGGUCUACAUCCGUAACAGUCGCAGUAAGUUUUUAAUCUCUCCAAAAAGUUGUUCGAUUCUUCACAUUAUUAAUUACCUCUUUGAAAUUAAGAUGAUGACUUCUACUUUAUAUCUUGCCUAUGGAGUACAUGAAUCACUGGUUUCACACUUGAAUCUGUUUUCGUCUGUUCAACUAUGUAAGUGUUUUUCGUUGAUGACUGGUGCUUUCACGCGUUGUUCUACAAAUGGGAAUCUCACUAAUCAGAUGAAAAUGGGAAUUAGAGUUUAGGACCAAAACGAUCACAUAUUACAUACAUUAAGGACUAUUUUAAUAAAGUGGUAUAUAUAAAGGAUCAAAGAAUCCAAACCCCAUACAUUAGGGAUCAUUUUGAUCAAUUCGUACCAACUCCAACUAAAGUCAACAACCAUCUUUAUUGCAAUAAUAAAUAUAGUGACAGGAAGGCACCACAAGAUAGUUCUUUCAACUCCAUUUCCUUGAAAUUUCUUUAGGAGCAAUUUUGUGGUAGUUUCUAGUUUCGAUUAUCAAUUCCAGCCUCUAGGUACUACUUUUUGAAAUUUCUUUGGGUGCAACUUCACAUUAUAGUUUCAAUUGUCAAUUCUAGGUACUACCCUUCAAAAUUUCAAAGAAAUUCAUUUUUUAUUUUUCUUGAUUUUUUGCCUGGUGUUCGACACGCGUAUUAAAGUCCAAUUAUUUUGAACUACGGCGUGUAACACCCUCAUCGGGGGAAAGUGCUUCCUUCCAAAGAUUUUUUCAUACCCAAGGCUCGAACUCGAUAUAUGUAGUUAAGAGAAAAACAACAUCAUACACUGCAACACAUCCUUUGGUGGUAAGAGAUUCAUUUUUUAGAAGCUCAUGGUGACCAUUCAAUUCCCCCUUGUAAUCCCCUUUCCUAUUUUUCCUUUGUGUACCCCCAUUACAUCCUCUCUACUCCUUCAAAUUGUUUUGUUUCAAUUUCUCUCCAUAUUGACUUAAUGGCAGCCUAUACUGCUGUAAUUUCUCUUCUUCAAACUCUUGAACAACCAAAUCCGCAGCUCUUUCAUGGUAAUACUACUAAAACGCUUGAUUCUCUACAUGCUACUGCUGAAUAUUUCCAAAAAGUUCUAGAAAAUUCUAACAAGAGUAGAUUUGACAAUGAAAAGUUAAAAUCUUUGGAAGAAAAAAUUAGAGUUGCGGCAAGUUAUGCAGAAGAUGUUCUUGAGAUGAAAAUUUCUCAAAUCAUCAAAGUCUCGAGGUGGACAUUUGGAAUUUUACAACACCUGGAUUUUCUAAAAGCUGUUAAAAAAAUGGAUACAACAAAGAAACAAGUGAUGGAGAUUCUUUCUCAUGAUGCUAAUCAAGUUAUUGAAUUAUCCGGGGAUUCCUUGAUAGGCACUCUUUCUUCAAGUUACCCGAUUUUGUCAAAUCAGUCAGCAGAUGAUAUUGUGCACGGACUUGAUGAUGACUUGGAGAUAAUAGUUAAAAGAUUGAUAGGACAAUCACGGGAUCUAGACGUUGUCACAAUAACAGGCAUGGGUGGCAUUGGCAAAACAACGCUAGCUAGAAAAGCUUAUGAUCAUCACCCAAUCAGGUAUCACUUUGACAUUUUUGUUUGGGUUACAAUAUCUCAAGAAUUUCGAUGUCGAAAUGUAUUGUUAGAAGCUUUACAUUGCAUUUCAAAGCAAACUGAUAUUGUGAACGCAAAAGAUUAUGAUAAGAUGGAUGACAAUGAGUUAGCUGACCUGGUGCAAAAGAACCUAAAGGGUCCAAGAUACCUUAUUGUUGUUGACGAUAUUUGGAGUACAGAUGUUUGGGAUAGUAUAAUAGGAAUAUUUCCUAAUUACAACAAUGGAAGUCGAAUCUUAUUGACUACUAGGGAAAACGAGGUAGCAAUGUAUGCAAAUACUUGUAGCCCUCAUGAGAUGAAGCUUUUGAGUUUAGAAAACGGUUGGAGGUUACUUUGUGAUAAGGAGUUUGGACCAAAACAUGAUCAUCCUCCUGAGUUAGAAGGAAUUGGAAAGGAAAUAGUAGAAAAAUGCCAAGGACUACCCUUGACAAUCUCAGUGAUUGCGGGACAUCUCUCUAAAGUGGCCAGGACAUUAGAAAGUUGGAAGGAUGUCGCCCGAACCUUAAGUGAAAUAAUUGCUAGUCAGUCAGAUAAAUGCUUAGGAGUGCUCGGUUUGAGUUACCACCACUUGCCUAGUCGCCUUAAACCUUGUCUUUCUUUCUAUGAGUAGUUUCCCAGAGGAUUUUCAGGUUGAUACUCGGAGACUGAUCCAAUUAUGGAUCGCAGAAGGUUUUGUAAGGAUUUCCAAAAUGGUAAAAGUUUGGAGGAAGUGGCAAUUGAUUAUUUGGAGGACCUUAUUAGCAGGAACUUGAUACAGGCUAGAAAAAGGAGAUUCAAUGGUGAGAUAAAAGCAUGUGGAAUACAUGAUCUACUGCGUGAGUUCUGUUUGAUAGAAGCUGAAAUGACAAAGCAUAUGCAUGUUGAGAGAACUCACCCUACUACUCUUCCAAACACAAAAGCAUAAUGUUCGUCGCUUCAGUAUUCAAGCCUUAUCUUAUUCAGUUGAUGAUUAUUGUAAGGCAUUACCCCCUGUCGCCAGAUCUAUUUACCUUUUUUCUCACUUUGAUCAACCUCUUGAAUUUCUCUCUCGUUUCAACCUUCUCAGGGUAUUGGCCAUCUUCAAUGAAAAUGUAAGUUGUCAGUCAUUUCCACUAGUGAUUACAAAGUUAUUUCAUUUGAGAUAUCUCCAAUUUCCAUUUCACAACGAUAUUCCUGACUCAAUCUCGGAGCUUCAGAAUUUGCAAACUCUAAUUUGUGGCAGGGAUGCCAAAUUUAGUGGUUAUCCUUUAGAUAGAAGUUAUUCUUUACCUGGGAAGAUAUGGAUGAUGAAGAACUUGAGGUAUAUUCGUAUGAAGGGACUCCUUUUUUUAUCCAGUCCUAGAACAGAAAGUCUUCUGACAGGGAUGCCAAAUCUAGAGGAAUUUUCUAUUCUUUGUUCCACCAGUUGUACAAAUGAAGUCUUCUCUGGCAUUCCCAAUCUAAAGAGGUUGAUCAUUCAUCUACCAUAUGAAAUAAAUGAAAUUUUCAAUCGGCAAUUGGAUAUGUCCAGAUUGAUAAAACUCGAAGCAUUCAAGUUUUAUGGGUCAACUUUUUUUCGACACCCCAUCAAGAGAAUUGGUUUUCCAACAUCACUUAGGAGGUUGUCUUUAACUCUGUGUAGUGAUUUUGAUUGGGUAGACAUAUCCUCAACUUCUAUGAUGUUGCCAAAUCUUGAAGAGCUCAAACUUAAACGUUGUCUAACCUUUAGUCGUAAAUGGAGAUUGAGUGAUGAAAACAAGUUCAAAAGCUUGAAGUUGUUGCUACUGAGUGGCGCAAAUCUUAUUCAUUGGGAAGCUAGCAGUAAUAACUUCCCAAAUCUAAAAUGCCUUGUUCUGAAGGGCUGCCACACACUGCUAGAAAUUCCAGCAGAUUUUGGGGAUAUUUGUACUUUGAAAUCAAUUGAAUUACAUGAUUGCCCCCCUCGUGUUGAGGAUUCUGCAAGAAAUAUUGUACAAGAACAAGAGGAUAUGGGAAAUAAUUUCCUUAAGGUCUACAUCAUUCAUAACAAUUACUGUAACUUCUAAACAGUUCUUCGAUUCUCCCAUCUUUGCUUCUGAUAGGAAUGUCAGAGAGUAGAUGUAUAGUGUAUAAUCUCCAUGAUGUCUUGGGGAAUGAUACGUAGACGAUGAAUGAGAUUCUUUUACUUUUUGUGAACUUUGACUUCUUUUUUAUCGUAUACUAUUGAUGUUGAAACUCAUUGCAAUUAUACAUUAAGCAAGUACAUACAUUGGCGUAAAGUCCCCAUCUCUUGAGGUAGAAAAAGUUUGAUGCAAAUGUUGGUUAUUUGACGAAAAGAGAAUAAUAUUGUGCCAUUUUCUAAGAAACAGAGGUGUCUACCCUUUGCUAUGAUACUAUAUACCAUUUGUUCUACACAAAAGUCUACUUUUUUGUAAGCCAAUUUUCUUACAUAGGUAAAGGCGGAGCUACAAUCAUAGAAGAGUGGUGGAGCUAGGAUUUCUACCUGAAAAUUAUAUUGAACAUUCUUCACUUAAAAGUUAUGUUGUGUAGCUCAAACAAAGGCACGCAGAGGAACUUGCUUCUUUAAGUUAGCCUUUUAGAGGAACAAACAAGGAACAAAGUGAUUGUUUUCAAUUAGUAGCGGAGCCAGGAUUUUUAUUAAGAAAGUUCAAAACAUGAACAAGUAAACAAACACAACAAGUCAAUGAGGUUCAACGUUUAUUAUAUAUUAGUCUUUCGACACGCGCUUUUUGUGUGUACCCCAUAUUUGCUAUACAAUCUAUUUGUUAUUUUAUGACAUUAUCGUUAAAAAAACUUUAAUAUAAUGUCAACUUGGACAUUAUUUAUGAUCUCAAAUGACCAAUUCUGACAACUCAAGCAUUAGGGCUACUAAUGUCACAAUGAUUAACAAUAUGACCAAUUCUGCAACUGACCAUUCUUGAGACACUAUGAGUUCUUCUUUGUUACAACCUGUGGGAUUAAAAUUGGAAAAAGGCAUAAGUAGCCCCUUCAAUUAUGAUCGAAAUUUCAGGAACACACUUUAUUUUUCAUAUUACCCCUAAACUUCUUCUUUUUCUGUAUUGCUUUGCACCUUAUGUGCAGACGUGGAGCCACAACCUAAUUUAAUUAGUUCCAGUGAUAUACAUGCGCCUCCACGUGUAUAUAUGUUUUUUUAGAAAAAAAAUCUUUAAAAAUUUCUUAUCUUUUUUCUAUUUCUUUUAUUUUCUUUACAUUUUUUUUAUAUUUGAUUUCAAGUAUCUUGUACUUAAAAUAAGUUAAUUUUGGAUAUAUACCAAAAAAAAAUGAAUAAAAUCACAUAAAAAUAGGGAAAAUGGUCUGAUAUAGCCCUCAACUUUGUGAUAAACCCCGUUAUGAAAGUGGCUAAUAUAUACAUGUUAUGAAAGUGACUCAUAUAUACCCUUAUUGUUAUACAAAUGACUCACAUAUACCCUAUUAAAACGUUAAAAAAAUUCUCAUGUAUUGACAUAUAAACCGUAUUUACAUCCAAGUGUAACUUUAGACUUGAUUUCCUCGAAAUUUCUUUGGGAGCAAUUUCAAUGUAGUUUCUGCUGUCAAUUCACAGAACAACGUUUUGAAAAAAAAAUUGGGAGCAAUUUCGCGGUAGUUUCUACUGUUAACUCUAAGUACUACUAUUUGAAAUUUUUUUGGGACUGUCAAUUCGAAGUACAACGUUUUGAAACUUUUUUAUACAACAAGUUUCUAUAAAUACAACAAGUCUCUACUCCUUGAAGAAUUAUUUUGUUUCAAUUCCUUUCCAUAUUGACUUAAUGGCAGCCUAUACUGCUGUAAUUUCUCUUCUUCAAACUCUUGACCAACGAAAUCCACAACUCUUUCAUGGUCACACUGCUGAAGCGCUCGAUUCUCUUCAUGCUACUGCCGAAUAUUUCCAAAACGUUCUUGAAAAUGCUAGCAAGAGUAGAUUUGACACUGAAAAGAUCAAAUCUUUGGAGGAAAAAAUUAGAGUUGCUGCUAGUUAUGCAGAAGAUGUUCUUGAGCUGAAAAGUUCUCGAAUUGUCAAAGUCUCGAGGUGGAAAUUUGGAAUUUCACAACACCUGGAUUUGCUAAAAGCUGUUAAAAAAUGGAUACAACAAAGGAACAAGUGAUAAAGAUUGUUUCUCAUGAUACUGAUCAAGUUCUCGAAUUAUCCGGGGAUUCCUUGAUUGGCACUUCUUCUACAAGUUACACAAUGCUGGAAAAUGAUGUCGUGAACGGACUCGAUGGUAAUUUGGAGAUCAUAGUUAAUAGGUUGAAAGGACGACCACGGGAUCUAGACGUUGUCACAAUAACAGGCAUGGGAGGCAUUGGCAAAACAACACUUGCUAAAAAAGCUUAUGAUCAUCUCACAAUCAGGCAUCACUUUGACAUUCUUGCUUGGGUUACAAUAUCUCAAGAAUUUCGACCUAGAAAUGUAUUGUUAGAAGCUUUAAACAGCAUUUCAAAGCAAACAGAUAUUGUGAACGCAAAAAAUUAUGAUAAGAUGGAUGACAAUGAGUUAGCUGACCUGGUGCAAAAGAACCUAAAAGGUCGAAGAUACCUUGUUGUUGUUGAUGAUUUUUGGAGUAGGGAUGUUUGGGAUAGUAUACGUAGAAUAUUUCCUAAUUACAAUAAUGGAAGUCGAAUCUUAUUGACUACUAGGGAAAACGAGGUAGCAAUGUAUGCAAAUACUUGUAGCCCUCAUGAGAUGAAACUUUUGAGUUUAGAAAACGGUUGGAAGUUACUUUGUGAUAAGGUGUUUGGACCAAAACAUGAUCAUCCUCCUGCAUUGGAAGAAAUUGGAAAGGAAAUAGUAGAAAAAUGCCAAGGACUACCCUUAACGAUUUCAGUGAUUGCGGGACAUCUCUCUAAAGUGGCCAGGACAUUAGAGGGUUGGAAGGAUGUUGCCCGAACCUUAAGUGAAAACAUUGCUAGUAAUCCAAAUAAAUGCUUAGGAGUGCUCGGUUUGAGUUACUAUCACUUGCCUAAUCGCCUCAAGCCUUGUUUUCUUUCUAUGAGUAGUUUCCCAGAGGACUUUCAGGUUGAUACUCGGAGAUUGAUCCAAUUAUGGAUUGCAGAAGGUUUCAUAAGGACAUCUGUUGGAAGUCGUAAAAGCUUGGAGUAAGUGGCAUAACAUUAUUUGGAAGACCUUAUUAGCAGGAACUUGAUACAAGCUAGAAAAAGGAGAUUCAAUGGUGAGAUAAAAGCAUGUGGAGUACAUGAUCUACUGCGUGAGUUCUGUUUGAUAGAAGCUGAAAUGACAAAGCAUAUGCAUGUUCAGAGAACUCACCCUAUUCUUCCAACACAAAAGCAUAAUGUUCGUCGCUUCAGUUGUCAAACCUUAUCUUAUUCAGUUGAAAAUUGUUUUAAGGUAUUACCCCCUGUGGCCAGAUCUAUCCACUUAUUUUCUCGAUUACACCUACUUCAUAAACCCCGUCAUAAGCUUCUCGGCACAUGUCCCAUCUACCAUCGUAAUCCUAUAAUACAUGAAUUUUUCUCUCGUUUCAACCUUCUAAGGGUAUUGGCCAUCUUCAAUACAAUUGGAUACUUCGAAUCAUUUCCACUUGUGAUUACAGAGUUGUUUCAUUUGAGAUAUCUCCAAGUUCCAUUUUACGCAGAUAUUCCUGAAUCAAUCUCAGAGCUUCAGAAUUUGCAAACUCUAAUUUGUAGUGGUAAUUAUUUUGAUAUAACUUUACCUGAGAACAUAUGGAUGAUGAAGAACUUGCGGUAUAUACGUCUGAAGGGACCCUCUUAUUUACCCAGUCCUAGAACAGAAAGUCUUGUGACAGGGAUGCCAAAUCUAGAGGAACUUUCUAUUCUUUGUUACACGAGUUGUACAAAUGAAGUCUUUUCUGGCAUUUCCAAUCUAAAGAGAUUGAUCAUUUCUCUACCUUUUAACAAUACAAAGUUUCCCUAUCGGCUAUUGGAUAUGUCCAGUUUGACAAAACUCGAAGCAUUCAAGUUUUACGGGUCACCUUAUUUGGGAAACCCCAUCAAGAAAUUUGGUUUUCCAACAUCACUUAAGAGGUUGAGUUUAAGCAAGUGUAAUCAUUUUGUUUGGGCAGACAUAUCAUCAACUGUUAUGAUGUUGCCAAAUCUUGAAGAGCUCAAACUUAAACAUUGUCGAACCUUGAAUGAUGAAUGGAGAUUGAGUGAUGAAGACAAGUUCAAAAGCAUGAAGUUGUUGUUACUGAGCAAACUAAAUCUUGAGCAUUGGGAAGCUAGCAGUGAUAACUUCCCAAAUCUAUAACGCCUUGUUCUGAAGAAUUGCAACAAGAUGCAAGAAAUUCCAACAGAUUUAGGGGAAAUUUGUAGUUUGGAAUCAAUUGAGUUACAUGAUUGCAGCACUACUGCUGAGGAUUCUGCAAGAAAGAUUGUACAAGAACAAGAGGACAUGGGAAAUAAUAUCCUUAAUAUCUAUAUCCAUAACAGUCGCAGUAAGUUGUAAACAGUUUUUCGAUUCUCUCGUCUUUGUUAUUAUAUCUUACCUCCUUCAAAUAAUUAAGAUAAUGAUUUCUACAUUUUAUCUUGCAUAUACAGGCUUAUUUUGAGGGACCAUCUAAUGCCAUCUUCCAAAUGAAGAACCUUUCAUUUAUAUUUUGAAAAGUAAAAUCUUUCGUUUUUUAAUACAUUUGUGAUUUUGUAUUUUGUAAACGGUAUUUAUUGAUGUACUGUAAUAUCUAUUUCGUGUAAUGUGAUUAUUCGGAAUAGAAAAUGUUAUCAAUUUAUUAUGUGCGUAUAAGAAUCGUUGGUUUCACUUGGAAUCUGUUUUCCUCUGUUCAUGUACAAUACAUGUUUUUCAUUGAAUUACAUAACUGUGACACUACUGUUGAAGAUUCUGCAAGAAAUAUCGUUCAAGAACAAGAGGUCGAGCAGUCAGGUGAAAAAGUUUUAGAUCUCUCUAAAAGUCACAGAAAUUUAACUGUUUGAGACCAUUAUUUUUAUCUAGAUAUCGAUAAUCACAAGUAUACUAUGUGUUUGGUUUCUUCUUCAAUCGCAUAAAUGUGUAUCAGCAAUAUAAGGUAGCUUGUGAAUUGUGUCAAAAUUCAGGCUUUGAUCAGCUAAUGAAUUGUGUUGGAAUGUUGAUACUAACCAAGCCAUUUCACUUACAUCAAUUUCGUGAAAUCACUCAUCGAAAGCCCCAAAAAGACGUCAAGGAAUAGUAAGAAAAGAGAUACGGUUUGAACACAUGAUGAAGACAGGUAUGUAUAGAGAGCUAAAUCACGUUUGAUGUGAACAACAUACAGAGCAACCAACACUCUGUAUAAAUGUUGCUAAAGGCUUUAGCGACUCUAGUUGCAAAGGCAUUAACUCAGUUACAUCUAAAUAUUUUUGCGGCAAUAAAUAUUGUCACUAAAUAUCUCUUUUAUUAUAGUGAUUUGACAUACCACAUUUCAUUGGUAAUAGUCACGUCCUCAUUGUUACAAUAGCUUCUUCCUAUUCCACAACUCCCACAACAUCUUCCUUGUCCAUUUCCUCUAUAAGUACUCUUUUUUCCUCCAUAAUCUUUCAAGGAUGCUUGAUUUUGAUAAAUAACCUUUCAAUUGUUCAAUCGUCAUUGAGUAAAUCUUUAGAUUCUCAAUACCAUGCACCACAUAAUCAAACUUAAGUGUUAAAGGGCAAAGGAUCUUUUCUACCACACACAUACCGUCUACUUCCUCCCCCUACCUUCUUAUUUGAUUCACAACAAUCAUCACUCUUGAACGGAAAUUAGAAAUGGAUUCUUUCAAUAUUUUUAAAAAUUCAAAAUAAUCCCUAAAAGUUUGAAGUUUUACCUUUAUCAUUUUAUCAAACUCAUUGGAGAAAAUUUUGUAGAAUCUCUCAAGCUUCCUUUGAUCACGUGGAUGCAUCAGUCACCUUCUCAAACAUAUCAUCAUCCAAAAAUGACUGAUGAGAGAGAGGACUUGUUGAUCUUUCUUCCUUGUUUGAGGCAAAGUUUCUUAUUACCAAGUUUUGUACAACUACCAAAUAUCUUAAGACACAGAAUGAUUUUCAUUCGUAGACACCUGUUUCCAUAAUAUAUAUAUAUAUUGUGAGAAGGGGAUAAUGAAAAGAAAGCAGACUAUUAUUUGUCAUGGCUCUAAUACCAUGUUAUUGAAAAAUAAUAAUCUCAUCCAGGAAUAAUAUCCACGCUAAAUAGCAAGAACAAGAGAGUAACAACAAUAGCAAAUAUCUUUUAACGGAGUAAAAAUGUAAUAACACUUGUUACGACUUGAUAGUGUCAAGAGACUACUACCACACCUUCAAAACAAGCAACACUCUUUUAUUUCACACAACUAACUACGAUAUUACUCUAACUGUGAGUACGACAUGAUAAAAAUUGAUUUAGCUAGCUACUUGGAGAAGCAAAUUGUAGGAGCUCUUCAUCCCUCUCAAAAGCUAACAUGUCUUGUUCCUUCAAGCCACUUAUCACUUCCACUCCAUCCCUAUUUUUAUUAUCCAUCAACAUAAACAUGUUUUUAAGUGGUGUACAAACUUUUUCAGGCUUUCCCCAUCCAAAGUCAACAUCAUAAAUGGGGAAUUUGGUGGUGCUACUCAUAUAGAAAUUAGAAGAUGAACUGUUGAAAAUUGUUUCAUUAAGUGCUUCUUGUGCUAUAGAUGCAAAUUCAUUUGGUUGAGCAUUUUUAUAUUUUUUUCGUAAUUCUUCUUUUGCCUUUCGUAGUUUACCAACUAUUUGUGGCAAAUCCAUUUCUUUCUCAUCUUUUGUAUGUAUACAAUAUGGAGAAACAUUGUUUCCCAUAGUGUUUUUUGGCAACGGAGGACGCAAGUUUAAAGCCUGGUGGAGUGUAGAUGUCACCACUUUUUUUGUAGCCAUGGCGCGUUGGUAAAUGAAUGCUGACACAACUUCUGUAUCAGUUGGAUUUUGUACUUCUGAUUGAUUAAUAACCCUAGCUUUCAGCGCGGUUAAUUUGGAGGACGAGAAAGAAAAACUUUUGAUUGAAUAUUUUUCUGUUUCUAGUUCGGGAAUGAAUGUUGUUUGUGACAAAUCCUCUUUUAUAGGUGGAAAAUAAGACGCUCCAUUAAAUUGAGGAGUCAUUGGUAAUAUCUCUGAACUCAUAGGAUUACGCGCUAUAGUAGCCCAAUGGUUAGUGAAGUUGCAUAAUGUAUAUCCAUCCGCAAUCUUAUGUGAAAAACAUAUACUGAUUGCAAUUCCGCCACAAUUAAAGUGACUAAGUUGAAACACUGCAAGACUACCCUUGUAUGAAUACGCAUUAGCAACUCCCUUCGGAUAGACUAAAUUAUGUUUAUCAGCAUAAGGGUCGUUGAGAAAUUCAGACAUUGGACAAUCUAUUUUUGUAGUGAAGAAUUCAACUCCAUUAUCAUUACAAUCAACAGAAAUAUUGUCAUUCAAUUCCCCUGCCAAUGGAUAAUAAUUGGUCAAAACUUUUGAAAGGGAUUUCUCAAGAUGUUGAGAUACAACAUUACUUGGUUUAUUUGACCAUGUGUUACUCAAUUUAGGGUAAAAAUAGACAAUAGGAGUAUGGAUGCAACAAAUUAUUUGAUCAAGAAAAGAGAGUUUGUGACAACGAAGUGAAAUUGGAGUAGGUGAAUAUGGUUUGAUUAUUUUUUACAAACUGAGGAUACAAGUUUUGAUACACUACUCAUAUUGUUGAUACAAAUGUGUUUGAAAUAUGCAAGAAAUUAUGCAGUGUGUUUUGUACAUUACUAUACAACUAUAUAUGUAGAUGAACAAAGACAACUUAUUUAUAAGCAAUAAAUUAUUUAGACUAACCUAUUAAAUGUGUACGUAAGCUUAGGAGUUGCCACUUAUAAAUAGUGCACUCUAGAAAACUAAACUUCAUAGGUUACAAACAAGUAGCUAGAGACUAAUUAGGUAAAAAUUUAGUAAAAAAUAUAUCAAUCUUAUAAUGUUAAGAGCUAAUUACAUCUUAUCCUUACUCUUUUUCAAAUUAAAAAAAUCCCUUAAAUUUUUAAGAAUUUCGGAUACAUUACUCACGUCCCGAUACAUUACCUUUGUUGAUAAACAAGACACACAUGUCUCGAUCUAUCGCUCAACGUCCCGAUACAUCAUGUUCCGAUAUAUAAUUACCAGCUUUGUUGAUACAAGAUACACUUGUCCCGAUGCAUUACUUUUGUUCAGGGCCGGACCCACCCUAUGUCAUGGGGUAUUGACCGACAGUGCUUCGUUGAAAAAGUUUAGUAUUACAUACUAAACAAAAUCUGAAAAAAUAAAAAUAACCCUACAAAUAACAUUAAUGACACUUCUUGAGUAAAUGAGCUUCUUGGCUCGUUGCUUUGCCGAUCAAAUGAAAUGGUAAUAAGCUUCAAUUGGUUUGAUUUGCUUUUUCUUCUUCCUUGUAAUAAAAAUAAUUUAUUUUCAGCAGCGGCCAAACAUUUAGAUGAGCAAAAUAUGGGUAGGCAUAGGCAGGACACCAAACUGUGUAGGUGGACCUAAAUUUUAGAACUUUAUAACCAAUUACUAAGAUUUUACUUUAUUACUUCAUCAGGCUAAUAAUAGUUGUUCAUAUACUAUUUUAGAAUGUCACACAAUACUUGUUCAUUUAUAAAAUUAAUAAAUAAUUUUAUAUUUAGUUUCUAAUUUACUCAAAAAAUUACUUUACAUUUGAUAUUUGAUUUAGGGUUCGAUGAAUAUUGUGUGUACACUAUAUGCACUUGAAUCUAAAUGUUUUUCACCACUUAACAUUUUUGAAUUUUUUUUAAAUGUCAUAAUUUGAAGAGUUGAAUGUAUCUAUAUUAUAACUAUGGACUAUGGUCUAAUAAUGUGACAGAUCUUUGGCCCAUUAUCUUUUUUUACUGUUUAGUUUUGUAAACUCUUAGUUUUAAUGAAAAUUAUUUUUAUCUUUGAUUGUUGCAGUUCAAGUCUUUUAAUCAAUUACCAUUACUCUUCCACUCACAUCUUCACUAUUAAAAAAAUGAUAAAUUGAGAAAAGCUUAGUAGCUGCGAGACCUGUCAAGUUCCCACUUGAUCCUACAAGUCUAUAGUCUAUACUUCUUGCUUUGAUGGCAAUCGUUGGUCGCUUGCUUGAUUGGAAGGACUGAUACAGAUCUCUUUUUUUCAAUAGGGAAAGCAAAUCCUAAUCAUCAGGUAAGACGGGAUCAUUAGAAUACGAAACUGUCACAUACAAUGACAUACCAUAUAAUACAGCUAUCAAUAGGAGGUAUAUUACCUAUCCAUCAAUAAUUCUUUUUUCCUUCUCUCUUUCCCCUGGUUCGAAUCACCCUGAAUGAAGAGUGAGCGAACAAGAUGUAAAACAUAUCAUAAAUGUUGAAUUCUAAGAAAGAAGGGGGGGGGGGGGUCCUUCUCGUGUAUGCGCCUUUAUUUAUAUUCUUUCUAUUUUUGAAUGGGUGAGGGUAUUCUGCCUAAAUAGUAGACAAUGAUAAUAAAUAAGAGAAUAGACAACAACUGAUUAAUAUUUUAAAUUAACAAUAUCAGUUAAAACUUUUAAUCCAGUUUUGUCUUUCGCAUAGUAAGAAAAAAAAAGUUACACUCUUUAGACUUUAAUUAGGAAGCUCAUAAGUCUUAUUAAGCCUCAAUUGAGAUAAAUUUAAAUAUGUAACAAAGAGGGGGAAACAUUAUGCUUUGAAUAGAUAAGAAAAUAACCAAAUUCAAAUCAAAUAUUGUCAGUUAUUAAAAUUCAUUUAGACACCUUCAAAAACUAUAUGUCAUGUCAGGAUGUGGACAAUAGGGACGAGUUAGAGUAUUUAGUUGUCAUUUGAAAUCAAGUUAAGAUGAUUACAUUUCCACUCUCAAAGUUGGAAUAUUUACUUAUCAGGGAGCCUGAGACCAAGUUUGAGUGUCAUGUUUAUGUAUUAUGCCUUAUAUACCGUUAAUUUUUUCUUAAUUUAAAAAGCACCAAUUAGUAUUGUUCAUUUGAUUAAUGUUGCUUUUCUGAUCCAUUAAUUAACAACUGUAAAGAUGCUUGUUUUAUUCAAUCAAGAACAAAUAAAAAAAAAAUUAGUGCUUCUAAAAGGGAUGGGAAAAACAUUAGUACUAUAUACCUACUGGAAUUGACAGAUCCAAUUUCACACACACAACUGGCAUUGACUUAGUUUUUUUUGGGCAUGAGCUAAAAAUUGAGUCAUAACUCAACCCUCGUAUUCAAAGUUUUUUCUUACAACCAAAAAAUUUCUCUCCUUGCAAACAGAGCUUGUUCAUCUUCAAACAAUAUUCCAUUUACAAUAUUUUGAUUAAUCUUGAAUACUUGAUGGCAGCUUAUAGUGCUGUAAUUUCUCUUAUUCAAUCUCUUGACGAACGAAAUUUUCAUGAACUCUUUCAUGGUCAUACUGCUGAAACGCUCGAUUCUCUUCGUGCUAUUGCUGAAUAUUUCCAAAAAGUUCUUGAUGAAUUUGAACCUGGAAAAAUCAAAUCUUUGGAGGAAAAAAUUAGAGAUGCUGCUAGUGAGGCCGAAGAUAUUGUUGAGCUGAAAACGCGUCAAAUCAUCAAAGGGAGAAGCUGGAUGUUUGGAAUUUUACAACACCAGGAUUUGCUACCACUUGUUGAAAAAAUGGAUACAAUAAAGAAACAGGUGAUGGAGAUUGUUUCUCAUGAUGCUGAUCAAAUUCUUGAAUUAUCCGGGGAUUCCAUGAUUGGUACUUCUUCUACAAGUUAUGCAAUGCUGUCAGAUAAGUUGGAAGAUGGUAUCGUUCAGGGAAUUGAUGAUGACUUGGAGAUCAUAAUUAAAAGAUUGACAGGACCACCAUCGGAUCUAGACAUUGUCACAAUAUCAGGCAUGGGUGGCAUUGGCAAAACAACACUCGCUAGAAAAGCUUAUGAUCAUCUAACAAUCAGGUAUCACUUUGACAUUCUUGCUUGGGUUACAAUAUCUCAAGAAUUUCGAUGUAGAAAUGUUUUGUUAGAAGCUUUACAUUGCAUUUUAAAGAAAAUAGAUAUUGUGAAUGCAAGAGAUUAUGAUAAGAUGGAUGACAAUGAGUUAGCUGACCUGGUGCAAAAGAACCUUAAGGGUCGAAGAUACCUUGUUGUUGUUGAUGAUAUUUGGAGUAGGGAUGUUUGGGAUAGUAUAAGAGGAAUAUUUCCUAAUUACAACAAUGGGAGUAGAAUCUUAUUGACUACUAGAGAAACUGAGGUAGCAAUGUAUGCAAAUGCUUGUAGACCUCAUGAGAUGAACCUUUUGGAUUUAGAAAACGGUUGGAAGUUACUUUGUGAUAAGGUGUUUGGACCAAAACAUGAUCAUCCUCCCGAAUUGGAAGAAAUUGGAAAGGAAAUAGUAGAAAAAUGCAGAGGACUACCCUUGACAAUUUCAGUGAUUGC